AUUGAGAGUUUGAUCCUGGCUCAGGAUGAACGCUGGCGGCGUGCUUAACACAUGCAAGUCGAGCGAUGAAGUUUCCUUCGGGAAACGGAUUAGCGGCGGACGGGUGAGUAACACGUGGGUAACCUGCCUCAUAGAGUGGAAUAGCCUUCCGAAAGGAAGAUUAAUACCGCAUAACGUUGAAAGAUGGCAUCAUCAUUUAACCAAAGGAGCAAUCCGCUAUGAGAUGGACCCGCGGCGCAUUAGCUAGUUGGUGGGGUAACGGCCUACCAAGGCGACGAUGCGUAGCCGACCUGAGAGGGUGAUCGGCCACAUUGGGACUGAGACACGGCCCAGACUCCUACGGGAGGCAGCAGUGGGGAAUCUUGCGCAAUGGGGGCAACCCUGACGCAGCGACGCCGCGUGCGGGACGAAGGCCUUCGGGUCGUAAACCGCUUUCAGCAGGGACGAGUCAAGACGGUACCUGCAGAAGAAGCCCCGGCUAACUACGUGCCAGCAGCCGCGGUAAUACGUAGGGGGCGAGCGUUAUCCGGAUUCAUUGGGCGUAAAGCGCGCGUAGGCGGCCGCGUAGGCGGGGGGUCAAAUCCCGGGGCUCAACCCCGGUCCGCCCCCCGAACCCCGCGGCUCGGGUCCGGUAGGGGAGGGUGGAAUUCCCGGUGUAGCGGUGGAAUGCGCAGAUAUCGGGAGGAACACCGGUGGCGAAGGCGGCCCUCUGGGCCGAGACCGACGCUGAGGCGCGAAAGCUGGGGGAGCGAACAGGAUUAGAUACCCUGGUAGUCCCAGCCGUAAACGAUGGACGCUAGGUGUGGGGGGAGAGUCCCUCCGUGCCGCAGCCAACGCAUUAAGCGUCCCGCCUGGGGAGUACGGCCGCAAGGCUAAAACUCAAAGGAAUUGACGGGGGCCCGCACAAGCAGCGGAGCAUGUGGCUUAAUUCGAAGCAACGCGAAGAACCUUACCAGGGCUUGACAUGCUAGUGAAGCCGGGGAGACCCGGUGGCCGAGAGGAGCUAGCACAGGUGGUGCAUGGCUGUCGUCAGCUCGUGUCGUGAGAUGUUGGGUUAAGUCCCGCAACGAGCGCAACCCUUAUCAUUAGUUGCUACCAUUAAGUUGAGCACUCUAGUGAGACUGCCCGGGUUAACCGGGAGGAAGGUGGGGAUGACGUCAAAUCAUCAUGCCCCUUAUGUCUAGGGCUACACACGUGCUACAAUGGUAGAUACAAAGAGAUGCAAUACCGUGAGGUGGAGCAAAACUAUAAAAUCUAUCCCAGUUCGGAUUGUAGGCUGAAACUCGCCUGCAUGAAGCCGGAGUUGCUAGUAAUCGCGAAUCAGAAUGUCGCGGUGAAUACGUUCCCGGGCCUUGUACACACCGCCCGUCACACCAUGAGAGCCGGUAACACCCGAAGUCCGUGAGGUAACCGUAAGGAGCCAGCGGCCGAAGGUGGGAUCGGUAAUUGGGGUGAAGUCGUAACAAGGUAGCCGUAAAU
rnacentral:rRNA from 1 species